rnacentral:rRNA from 1 species
CCCUUAGAUGUCCUGGGCCGCACGCGUGCUACACUGAUGCAUACAGCGAGUACUUUCCAGCUCCGCGAGGCAGCUGGUAAUCAGCAAUAUGCAUCGUGCUGGGGAUAGAUCUUUGGAAUUAUAGAUCUUGAACGAGGAAUUCCUAGUAAGCGCAAGUCAUUAGCUUGCGCUGAUUAAGUCCCUGCCCUUUGUACACACCGCCCGUCGCUCCUACCGAUUUCGAGUGAUUCGGUGAACCUUUUGGACAGCGUCUGUCCUCGUGUCAGAUGCUGAAAGUCAAGUAAACCAUAUCACUUAGAGGAAGGAGAAGGCGUAACA